GAUAAAAUCUGCAUCAACGGCAGAGCAGCUUUUACCCUCUGCAUGGUGAGUGGUUUUAUUGGUUUUGCAUUUAAAACUGUCCUAGUACAUCUGUGCUUUCAGCGCAAGCCCAGCAUCCUCAUACACUUGCAAAGCUGAGAGCUCACCUCCUUGCUGCCCUCAGCCCACACUCGGCCCAUAGGGUGGACAUAUAGGGUUUAGCACAUGCUGGGGCUGUUCUCCCAUGGAAAUGGAUGGCUGUGUCAGCUCUGGAGGCACAACACACUUGAGUGCAGCCAUAAGCCACCAUGCCUCACCCCAGGCUCCAGCCCACUGUAGUUAAUCAUUAAAUAAUUCCCCUGGUGAUGUUAUCCAGUGCUGAUAAAUUACAGAUUUCAUUGUUUUGCCUGGAGCAGCUUUAAAUUGUGUUAAUUUCAUCAAAGAUUGACACUGGCUUUUAUUUCCUUUUGCUGCUGUUUUGUCCUGCAAAGGAGAUGCACACUAUAGACUUUAGAUUGCCCACGUAAUGGGCACAAUAUAUUUUUUCACAUAUUUAGAGAAAAUUGUAAUCAGAGCCUUUUAAAUAUGAAGAACUUUUGGAUCAAUAAAAUACUAAUGAUAGCGUAUUCAAAGAGGAAUAUUACCACAAAUUCAACAGCUUUUAAAACAACCUUAUUGUUGACCAUAUUUAUUUUACAUGUGAUCUCAGAAUGCUUUCUAAUUUUAUACAGUGGUGAAUUUAUUCCACCUACAACACACGUUUCUGACACAGGGUUUUCUCAAAAAGUGAAGAUGAAAUACAUUAUACAUCUUCCUGAUGAGCCAAACCAUCAUCAGUCUGAUUCUCUCUUUUGGCAACAGAAAGAAAUUUCCCCAGGUAGUUCUAUUCUGCUCACUCCAAAGAAAAGGGCAAUCUUGAGUUCAUGGGAUUUUGAUCAGACCCUUCAUGGCAAAUUCUGCUCAUUUUGGAACAAGGAGCAUAAUGGUUCAGUGUGUGUUGAAUAAUAAUACAUGUUGAUAAAACACAUGCAAAAAUUUGGAGCUUUGAUUUUCAAUUGCAAAAUUGAUAUCAAAUAUUUUCGGUACCAGCAGCACUUUGAUGCAGCACAGUAGUCUGUUGUGGUAAAUAAAAAAAUGUUUUUAUCGUGCAGUACUGCAUCUCCCCAAGCAGUUCUGAAUUCUACUGGGAAAUAUUGAAUAAAACUUCAAACCUUGACUGAGGCCCCGUGUCACUGUUGGUGUUUUUAAGAGGUCUCUUUCAACACUUUCCCAGAGUACCUGGGGUCUUUCUUGUUGCAGACUUUUUAUUAUUAUUUUUUUAACAUGUAGCAUAAUACAGUCUAAACCACUGCUUUGCUGUAAAUGUGCACAGAUGUUUAUUAUUUCAUGAGCUGUGUCAGGUGCCUGGAGGCAUUGAUAGCCCUCAACGACCCUGACCAGCCUCACCUGGGGCCUCCCACCCCCAGCGAUGGGCCCAGGAGCUCUAUUCAACUUCAGCCCAGGCCCACCUGUCCCUCUAGUUAAUGCUGUAGGAGUAUUGGUUCUCUGGUUGGUUACAGCUGUGGUGAUGUGUGGACCCUAGCUCAUUUGUAGGUCUCCUGGCUGAGCUGCAGAGUUGUCCUGUUGCUAUGGGUGUGUCUGGCAAUCUCUGGACUCUUUCUCAUUGUGAUCUUAUGCAGUUGGUUGACUACUCAUCUUGACUUCAGACCUGUGCCAUCUUGUGAGGUGUUCUGAUAACUGGGGCUUGUGGUUGAAGCUGGCUCAAUUCCUAGAGCUGCACUGCUCUCCUGGCCUGGUACCAUGGAUGGGAUGGGACUGUCCUGCUGGCCCUGGGGCUGCCCUCAGCUCCUGCGUCUCCAUCCUGCUGGGAGAAGAUAUGGAUUAGCUAAGGUGGAUGCCAGAAGAACUCCCAGCUGCAGAGGUUGUUGCUGGCAUUUGGGCAGACCCACAAAGCUGCAAACAGUCGGUGUGCGCCUUAAAUUCAGUGACUCCUUUGAAGUGAAACCCCAGCAAGCUCCAUGGUGAUUUGUAGAGGAUGCCUGGGUCUGUCUUCUCCUUUUGGUGAUCCUGAGCCAGUCUUUGUGUCCGGACCAUGGGAACACAUCAUGAACAAGCCCUCAAGAUCUUACAGGUCAUGACAUACUCUGUAAAGCCAUUGUACACUCAAAGAAAAAAAGUGCCA